AGCACCAUCACGGACGGCAGGCGCCUGCAGGGACCUGCAGGAACAAGACGACGGCGAGCAACCGAAAGCAGGACACAGCCACAUCGUCACCGCUGCCUGCAACAUGUUCCACAAAAUGUCCAGCGCCUAGCACAGUGGUUGUGACACAGCAAGCUAUACAGUCCUAAUGAAGUAUGGUUAUACUUCUGCUAUGUUGUCAAUUGUAUCUUUCUUUGUGCAAGAAAUAUGAACCAUAGUAACUUGAUUUUGUGUAGUUCAUAACAGCAUGGUAGUGCCCAUAGAAAAGCUAUUAUUAAUUAUGCUUGCUAUUCAUUCGCAAAAAAAAAAAUUGCUUGCUAUUAUCACCUAUAAUCUUACUGUCCUUCGUUAAAGCUUUCAUGGCUAAUUGUGAUUCUACAAGAAAAUUUUGAAUUAAAUUUGAAGGGUAAGUAAAGAACGACAAUAAAAAGAGAUGUUAAUACUCAACGCAUAUACUUCUUUUAUUUUUGUAUAUGACAUGCACUUUUAUUCUCAGAUUUUACUAAUAUCAGAUAAAAAAAGUGAUCUCCAAUGGAUCAAAUGCAUGAAUUAAGUCGGAUGGAUAUUUCAGGUAUGUCCCCUGUUUGUGACAUAAUAUUUUUCUUUCCCUUACCAAUAUCAGAUCCACUUUAGCAUCUGAAAGUAAGUGUAGGCUUGGUAGAUAUAACUUUUUUAGUUUCUUAUUCUCAACAGUCUUUACAUAAGUACUAUUCAUGUUAUAUCAGAUUCAGGAUGUCUUAGUUCUAUUGCAAAAAAUCCUCAAUUUCUGUACAGAUCUGCAGUACACUUGCCAUAAAUCCUAAUAACUAAAUUGUCAUAAUCCUUCAUUUUUAAAAACCUAUAAAGACAGGCAAGUUAUUGUUGAACAAAAUGGAGAUAAAUUACUUUUGUUAGUACAUGACCUACAUGCCUACAAUAUUUAUUAUCUUAACGUGCAUCUAAUUUGGCUCCUCAAAGCCCAUUUACCCUGCCCCUACCAAACAAGACCAAAGAUCACCUGAUUCUAAAAGAAUUAAAAAUACUACCUGAUUUCAUUUGCAGUGGUACCCAUUCUCAAGUCUGCCAUGCUCUAAAACACGGAUACUCCAGUUUGGCGUUGUAUCCGUACCGGAUAUCGUAUCUGAUACGGAUACGUGGUGGAUACGCCGCUGAUAUGUAUCCCUGGAGUAUCUGGAAAAAAAUAAAUACUUAUUAACCUGAUACGUGGGCUGGUACGUAUUGGCCCAGUUACACGAUACGGCCCAACCCACUCAGGUCGAUACAUCAGGGCGACUCGAUCGCUUCCUGCCCUAGCCACCCGCACACGCACGAGCGCAGCGCAGCAGAUCUGCAAGUGACGACCGGAGGGCGGCGACUCGACGGCUACUGGUGAUGGUGAGGUGAGUUCCUUUCCUUCCCGUUUUCUCCCUGCUCCGUUCUUACCACCUCCGAUUUCUUUCCCUCGCCUGCAGCAGCCGUAGGCACGCAGCAGCGGUGCCGCCUCCACGCCCACAGCGACGACCGGUAGGCGGCGACAGGCGACCGACGAGGACCAACACUAGCACUGGCUUCCAUUCUUCACCUUGGCCGAACCAGCAAGGCACCUUCUCCUCACCUAUUGCAGCCAUGACCUAGCUGAGCACAGCGUCCUCACCUCCUGCAGCUGGCGCCCGGCAGUGAGUUCUCCUUCUCCCCCUCCCCUUUUCCCCCUUUUCCCCCUCCCGAUUGGCUUAGCAAUAGGGUUCAUUUUGUAGGAUUAGGUGCUAACUUUGUUCCUUCCGACGGGGAGAAGAUGGCGACCGAGGGUUCAAGUAGUGAUGUUGGUGCUGGUGCUUCUGCAACCUUGACAGACAUUAAGGCUCUAUGUUUUAUUGUGUGAACUACUGAACUUUUCAAUUUGAGACUCUUAAGAUUGUGUUUCUUCUAUGUUCUUGUGUGUUAUUCAGUCAAUAAGAGAAGAAGGGAAGGGAUGUAGGUCGGCUGGAAGUAACUCCUCAAAGGUGAUGUAAUCUGUUUGUCUUUCCUGCCUCAAAUUUUAGUAUUUUACACUAUGCAUUUGUUGUAAGUUUGUAACCCUCUUGUACAUUCUUAUUUAGAUGGAGUCUUGGCUGUUGGCUCACUUUAGUACUCCCUCUGAUUGGAAAUAAUAAAUAAAGGGCAACAAGGUCAUUUGAUCUACUUUCUUAAUCUCUGUGCACAAGUCUAAAACGACCUACAUUUGCAAUCGGAGGGAGUACUUCACUGGAAUGGCCCAAAUGGUAGCAAAAUGGCUUAAUCACAAGAGUGCUCCUGUUUUCUUUUUAGGUCAUCCAAGCUGAAAUGCGUUAUGUGGCAUUGCAAGAAAUGCGUUAUGUGGCAUCGCAACAUUGCUUUGCUCCAUGACAUACAUGAAGUGAUGGAGGAGGUAAUUCCAGUUUGCUGAUGAUUGGUUUCUAACUUUAUUGUUCUCCAAGUGACUGUCAGUUGAUUUCUAGAUUUUAGUAGAAUCAAUGUUCUUUUCAGCUUCUUCAAAGUAUUUUUCAUGGGAAGAUGAGGUCUGAGGUUCAGAUGACACGUAUUAUGCUAGCACCAUUAAUACACAUUGCUUCAUAUUCCACUUAACAGUAGUUCUUCUGGUACAGAAUAUAUUCUUAGCAUUCAUGUGUUUCCUUCCGUAAGUUCAUACUUAUGACCUGUAUUAUUUGGAAUGCUUACUAAUAUUCUGAUAUCGGGGAAGAAUGGUCCUGAUCGCCUAUAUAUUCUACUGAA